AAAAAAAAAAUAAGGGAAGUCAUGGAGUGUCUGUUUUUCAUCUCAGAGUACCAGAUAAAAUAAGAAUGGAGUCUUGAGGAGCUCAUUAACUGGAGGGCAGGGGAUAUGCAUUUCAGACCCUGUCAAGCCAUGAGGUGGGGGCAUGAUGACAUUAGGAAGACUCUUCUGAGCAAGAUAUUUAUCCUGAGGAAUACUCCAGGGCACAUAACCACAUUUACUCCUGGCGACUCAUUCUCCAGCUGAUUGAAGCCUCUGCUUUGCCAGCUGUACAUCUCACAACCUCAUAUUUUAUCCAGCUCUAUGUCAUUAUCCUGAGGUUUAAUAGGUUGGUACUGCAUGAUCAGGUGUUCAGUCCUAAAAGAGUAAUGGAGCUAGGCUGCUGCCUCCACACAGCUAUAAUACCUCAGCAAAUUAAAGAUGAGAGAAAUAACUUUCACAUCUUUUAGACCAACUCCAAAGCAUAAAGAAGUCACAUUUUCUUCCUACCCUUUGAUUGAUAUCCUUUGUCAACCAUGGCCUAUCUCCAACAGGUUAGUUCAAAAAAGAAUGGCACAUUGAAGGAUGUUUUCUC
rnacentral:lncRNA from 1 species